rnacentral:rRNA from 1 species
UACGUAGGGGGCAAGCGUUGUCCGGAUUUAUUGGGCGUAAAGAGCGUGUAGGCGGCCAGGUAGGUCCGUUGUGAAAACUAGAGGCUCAACCUCUAGACGUCGAUGGAAACCAUCUGGCUAGAGUCCGGAAGAGGAGAGUGGAAUUCCUGGUGUAGCGGUGAAAUGCGCAGAUAUCAGGAAGAACACCGGUGGCGAAGGCGCCACUCUGGGCCGAAACUGACGCUGAGGAGCGAAAGCGCGGGGAGCGAACAGG